UACGUAGGGUGCAAGCGUUUAAUCGGAAUUACUGGGCGUAAAGCGUGCGCAGGCGGUUGUGCAAGACAGAUGUGAAAUCCCCGGGCUCAACCUGGGAACUGCAUUUGUGACUGCACGGCUGGAGUGCGGCAGAGGGGGAUGGAAUUCCGCGUGUAGCAGUGAAAUGCGUAGAUAUGCGGAGGAACACCGAUGGCGAAGGCAAUCCCCUGGGCCUGCACUGACGCUCAUGCACGAAAGCGUGGGGAGCAAACAGG
rnacentral:rRNA from 1 species